rnacentral:antisense_RNA from 1 species
GGUGGCGGCAUGGCCUGGGGGUCCUGGCACCGCUGCUCCUCUGCCCACCCCAACUUCCCGGCAUGGCGGCUGCCCUCUCUGAGCGUCCCCAACCAAACUGCAGGGGAUAUGACAGCAAGCUGGACUUGGGGAGACAUCUCUGCUCGAGUGCACGUUGGCCUGAUGACGACUGCUCUUGGGUUCACGGGUUCCAGGCUCUGCCCGGGAGCCUCAUGCAAACUGGUCCCAUUCUACAGAUGAGGAAACUGAGGCACAGGGUGAAUACGGCUGUCCCUGAGCUCCUGCAGCCAGUAAGUGUCUCUGAGGAUGAACUGCCAUGUGCCUGGUGGGGACGCCGUCCCUGGCCCUUGCUGGGUGCCUCUGAGACAAGGUCAGCUGAGCCUGCCAUCCUAACUCAGACACACCAUCUAACUCUCCAAGUCCCUUCUCGGCCCCAGCAAAUUCUCACCUCCAGAGGCCAGAUCUGCCCCGCAGGUCUUAGGAAAUACAGCCCUACUUCCAUCCAGCACACCAACCCAAGGAAGUGCCUCGGAGUCCUGGGGCCCAAGGUGGGCCUGGCGUUGGUCUCACGGCGGCGGCUCCUCCUGGAGUGGAGUGAACUCAAGCCAGGAUGCCCGGUCUCCACGGUGGAAACCGUGUUGCCGGCUGCUCCCUCCUGGGGACUCUGGGCCUGGGGUUCCUGUGGGAGUUGGGGGGAUAGCUGAGUCCUAUGGAGGUGCCCCUCUCCUCCCCACCCAGUGGAGCUUGGGGUGGGGGCCGGCGAAGACAGGGUGGGAAGCAUGGGGCAUUCCCCCUCCACACAGCGCUGAGAAACUAAGGGAGCAUCCAGAAAACGGUGCCCACUCCUGUGUGGAGGCGGAUAUCACAGGCACCAGCUCCAGGCGACCCUAGCUCAGCCAAAGAACCAGGGCCAGUGUGUGCCGCAAAGCCCCUGUCUGCUCCCUCCCGCCUGGGACCACUGUGGCGAGGGGAAGGGAGUGUGGUGGCCCUCUCCUGACUCCUGAAGCCUGAAGUCCAAGCUCCUGGCCCUCAGGCAGGCCAGGAUCUAGACACCACUGCCCCAAACACACCCCCCAGUCCCAGCCUGCAGGCUUCCUGCAGGAUCCCCCGGUGCCUGGGGGCUGAGAAGAGUGAGCAGGGUGCAAAGAAGCUUCGUCAGGAGGGCGGUCUCCACCCGCCUUGGACCCCUGGGCAUGGUGUCCUGGGGCCUGGGCUCAGAUGGACCCUGGGAGGAACGGUGCGGGGACUGUUUUUUGCUCCAAGAGAACAAAGUGCCACAUUGCCUCAGCAGAGGGCUGCCGAGCUGGGAGGACCCACAGUGCAAGGCCGCACAACCCCCUAGGAAGCCUUAGAGUCUUCAGGUUCCAGGCCGAGGCUGUGGGCGUGGACCCUUGUGCAAACCCCACUGGAAGAAAAACCUUACAGCUCAGGAGAAGGAGGGGCCCCACCCACUCCCAGAGCUCAUAACGGAGGGGUGGUGCCCACAUGAGGCCUGGGGAAGGGUUGGGGCUGGGACACCCCCUCACCACCCCCAGAUACCCCAGGCAGCCUCUCCCUCCACAGAGAGACCCACUAGGCCUGACCCUGCCCUGGGCACAGGGUCGAGACAGGGACGGCCCAUGGGGGAAAGACGGUUUCAGGGGCCACUGGCCGGGCCAGGUGGGUCUUUCCCCAGUUCUAGGUGGCAAAUGGGGUGGGGCCAGAGCCUUCUGGCUAGGGAAGACACUGGCCUGGCUGGUGUGGCAGGGGCAACGAAGGAGGGUCAAAGGCCACUUUGGCCUGGAAGAGUCCCCAGCCACCUGGACGGGGGUAGCCAGGCCUGGUCCCUGCCCCCACUCUCCAAGGGGUCGGGGCAGCCGGGCAGAGCCAGUAAGUGUUUGUUUUCAGAU